GCAGAACUUGCUGCUUGUUGUGUGUUUCUCCAGAGUCCAGGCUCCAAAAUUUCAAGACUCUAAGUAUUCAUAGUCUCCCAGAUGGUAUGUCUGUGUCAAAGCUCCGAUAGGUGAGGAACAUAACCGAUAUGGGAAUUCACUGAUGAUUUUUGCUGAAGGAGUGGAUUGUUCUCAGCUUUUGGUGAAUGUCUUGACACAUACUCAAGGAAUGACAUACAUAGCCUAAUAUUCUUGAUUUAGUAUAAUUGGUUCUCAAACGCCCAUCAGGCAGCUCUCCAUCCCUUCCUGAAUACACUGAUGCAGUAAGCAUGUGGGUGAGUUAGAUAGUUUCCCUCUGCCAUUGAAUUUGAUGCUAUUGAUGGCAGGAGAGCUGAUCAUCAUCACCUCCAUCCCAACCUAAUUGAUCUUAAUGUGGAUUGUAAUUUGUGAAAACUAUUAUAUUGUUGUGGAUUGAUAAUGUAUUAUUACUUUAACUUAACGUUGAUUGAUAAUGUUUUAGAAUUAUAUUAUAAUUUAGAAUUAAUAGUGUUUUAGUAUGUCA